CAUCCAGACUCCUACGGGAGGCAGCAGUGGGGGAUAUUGCACAAUGGGGGGAACCCUGAUGCAGCGACGCCGCGUGGGUGAAGAAGCGCCUCGGCGCGUAAAGCCCUGUCAGCAGGGAAGAAAAUGACGGUACCUGAAGAAGAAGCCCCGGCUAACUACGUGCCAGCAGCCGCGGUAAUACGUAGGGGGCAAGCGUUAUCCGGAUUUACUGGGUGUAAAGGGAGCGUAGACGGCGACGCAAGUCUGGAGUGAAAGCCCGGGGCCCAACCCCGGGACUGCUCUGGAAACUGCGGCGCUGGAGUACGGGAGGGGCAGGCGGAAUUCCUGGUGUAGCGGUGAAAUGCGUAGAUAUCAGGAGGAACACCGGCGGCGAAGGCGGCUUACUGGACGGCAACUGACGCUGAGGCUCGAAAGCGUGGGGAGCAAACAGGAUUAGAUACCCCAGUA
rnacentral:rRNA from 1 species